rnacentral:rRNA from 1 species
GACGAACGCUGGCGGCGUGCUUAACACAUGCAAGUCGAACGGAAAGGCCCUGCUUUUGUGGGGUGCUCGAGUGGCGAACGGGUGAGUAACACGUGAGUAACCUGCCCUUGACUUUGGGAUAACUUCAGGAAACUGGGGCUAAAACCGGAUAGGAGAUCUUGCUGCAUGGGGGGGGUGGGAAAGUUUCGGCGGUGGGGGAUGGACUCGCGGUUUAUCAGCUUGUUGGUGGGGUAGUGGCUUACAACGGCUUUGAGGGGUAGCCGGCCUGAGGGGGUGACCGGCCACAUUGGGCCUGAGAUACGGCCCAGACUCCUACGGGAGGCAGCAGUGGGGAAUCUUGCACAAUGGGCGGAAGCCUGAUGCAGCAACUCCGCGUGCGGGAUGACGGCCUUCGGGUUGUAAACCGCUUUCGCCUGUGACGAAGCGUGAGUGACGGUAAUGGGUAAAGAAGCCCCGGCUAACUACGUG